rnacentral:rRNA from 1 species
CCUACGGGAGGCAGCAGUGAGGAAUAUUGGGCAAUGGACGAGAGUCUGAACCAGCCACGUCGCGUGAAGGAUGACUGCCCUCUGGGCUGUAAACUUCUUUUAUAUGGGAAUAAAAUGUUCCACGUGUGGGACUUUGUAUGUACCAUAUGAAUAAGGAACGGCUAACUCCGUGCCAGCAGCCGAGGUAAUACGGAGGAUCCGGGCGUUAUCCGGAUUUAUUGGGUUUAAAGGGAGCGUAGGUGGAUUGUUAAGUCAGUUGUGAAAGUUUGCGGCUCAACCGGAAAAUUGCAGUUGAAACUGGCAGUCUUGAGUACAGUAGAGGUGGGCGGAAUUCGGGGUGUAGCAGUGAAAUGCUUAGAUAUCACGAAGAAC